rnacentral:rRNA from 1 species
CCCUUAGAUGUCCUGGGCCGCACGCGCGCUACACUGAUGCAUGCAACGAGUUUAUAACCUUGGCCUGAAAGGUCUGGGUAAUCUUUUGAACGUGCAUCGUGACAGGGAUAGAUUAUUGCAAUUGUUAAUCUUGAACGAGGAAUUCCUAGUAAACGCGAGUCAUCAGCUCGCAUUGAUUACGUCCCUGCCCUUUGUACACACCGCCCGUCGCUCCUACCGAUUGAGUAAUCCGGUGAAUAAUUCGGACCGAUUGCGAUGUCAGUUCCUGGCGCCGCAGACGGAAAGUCUAGUGAACCUUAUUACUUAGAGGAAGGAGAAGUCGUAACA